CGGACGGGUGAGUAACGCGUGAGAAUCUGCCCUCAGGAGGGGGAUAACGGUUGGAAACGACCGCUAAUACCCCAUAUGCCUACUGGUGAAAUGAAUUUCGCCUGAGGAUGAGCUCGCGUCUGAUUAGCUAGUUGGUGAGGUAAUGGCUCACCAAGGCUUCGAUCAGUAGCUGGUCUGAGAGGAUGAUCAGCCACACUGGGACUGAGACACGGCCCAGACUCCUACGGGAGGCAGCAGUGGGGAAUUUUCCGCAAUGGGCGAAAGCCUGACGGAGCAACGCCGCGUGAGGGACGAAGGCCUCUGGGCUGUAAACCUCUUUUCUCAAGGAAGAAGAUAUGACGGUACUUGAGGAAUAAGCCACGGCUAAUUCCGUGCCAGCAGCCGCGGUAAUACGGGAGUGGCAAGCGUUAUCCGGAAUUAUUGGGCGUAAAGCGUCCGCAGGCGGCUUUUCAAGUCUGCUGUUAAAACGUGGAGCUCAACUCCAUCAUGGCAGUGGAAACUGAAAGGCUUGAGUAUGGUAGGGGCAGAGGGAAUUCCCGGUGUAGCGGUGAAAUGCGUAGAUAUCGGGAAGAACACCAGUGGCGAAGGCGCUCUGCUGGGCCAUUACUGACGCUCAUGGACGAAAGCCAGGGGAGCGAAAGGGAUUAGAUACCCCAGUAGUC
rnacentral:rRNA from 1 species